rnacentral:rRNA from 1 species
UACGUAGGGUGCAAGCGUUGUCCGGAAUUAUUGGGCGUAAAGAGCUCGUAGGCGGUCUGUCGCGUCUGCUGUGAAAACUCAGGGCUUAACCCUGAGCUUGCAGUGGGUACGGGCAGACUAGAGUGCGGUAGGGGAGACUGGAAUUCCUGGUGUAGCGAUGAAAUGCGCAGAUAUCAGGAGGAACACCGGUGGCGAAGGCGGGUCCCUGGGCCGUAACUGACGCUGAGGCGCGAAAGCCAGGGGAGCGAACGGG